rnacentral:rRNA from 1 species
GAUGAACGCUAGCUACAGGCUUAACACAUGCAAGUCGAGGGGAAACGAUAUUGGAAGCUUGCUUCCGAUAGGCGUCGACCGGCGCACGGGUGAGUAACGCGUAUCCAACCUACCCACCACUUGGGGAUAACCUUGCGAAAGUAAGACUAAUACCCAAUGAUAUCUCUAGAAGACAUCUGAAAGAGAUUAAAGAUUUAUCGGUGAUGGAUGGGGAUGCGUCUGAUUAGCUUGUUGGCGGGGUAACGGCCCACCAAGGCGACGAUCAGUAGGGGUUCUGAGAGGAAGGUCCCCCCACAUUGGAACUGAGACACGGUCCAAACUCCUACGGGAGGCAGCAGUGAGGAAUAUUGGUCAAUGGGGCGAGAGCCUGAACCAGCCAAGUAGCGUGCAGGAAGACGGCCCUAUGGGUUGUAAACUGCUUUUGUGCGGGGGAUAAAGUGUGGGACGUGUCCCAUAUUGCAGGUACCGCAUGAAUAAGGACCGGCUAAUUCCGUG